UUAAAUGCAUUGAAGAGAAAGAGUAGGAUUACCUAGAGCUUUUACAGAGAGCUUCCGUUAGCUGAGAGGAAGCAAGAAUAAGUAUUCUGAAUACAUCUCUGAGCACCUCACCAAAGCUUUCAAACUAGAAGGUGGUAGGCUGAAGGCGUAUUCCUUUCCAACGUUAAAAGGAUAGAGUAUCAUGUAUGAAUUCUAUACAUCGUACUUGAAAAGGUUAGUAUUGUGAGAUGCUAAUAAAUUAAGGUGGUACCGCGAAUGUAACUCUCGUCCUUAUU
rnacentral:ncRNA from 1 species